rnacentral:rRNA from 1 species
UUAUAAGAGACAGCAGCAGCCGCGGGAAUACGAAGGGUGCAAGCGUUAAUCGGAAUUACUGGGCGUAAAGCGCGCGUAGGUGGUUCAUUAAGUCGGAUGUGAAAUCCCUGAGCUUAACUUAGGAAUUGCAUUCGAUACUGGGAAGCUAGAGUAUGGGAGAGGAUGGUAGAAUUCCAGGUGUAGCGGUGAAAUGCGUAGAGAUCUGGAGGAAUACCGAUGGCGAAGGCAGCCAUCUGGCCUAAUACUAACGCUGAGGUACGAAAGCAUGGGGAGCAAACAGGAUUAGAUACCCCAGUAGUCCCUGUCUCUUAUAC